GCUUAACACAUGCAAGUCGAGGGGCAGCAUGGUCUUAGCUUGCUAAGGCCGAUGGCGACCGGCGCACGGGUGAGUAACACGUAUCCAACCUGCCGUCUACUCUUGGACAGCCUUCUGAAAGGAAGAUUAAUACAAGAUGGCAUCAUGAGUCCGCAUGUUCACAUGAUUAAAGGUAUUCCGGUAGACGAUGGGGAUGCGUUCCAUUAGAUAGUAGGCGGGGUAACGGCCCACCUAGUCUUCGAUGGAUAGGGGUUCUGAGAGGAAGGUCCCCCACAUUGGAACUGAGACACGGUCCAAACUCCUACGGGAGGCAGCAGUGAGGAAUAUUGGUCAAUGGGCGCAGGCCUGAACCAGCCAAGUAGCGUGAAGGAUGACUGCCCUAUGGGUUGUAAACUUCUUUUAUAAAGGAAUAAAGUCGGGUAUGUAUACCCGUUUGCAUGUACUUUAUGAAUAAGGAUCGGCUAACUCCGUGCCAGCAGCCGCGGUAAUACGGAGGAUCCGAGCGUUAUCCGGAUUUAUUGGGUUUAAAGGGAGCGUAGAUGGAUGUUUAAGUCAGUUGUGAAAGUUUGCGGCUCAACCGUAAAAUUGCAGUUGAUACUGGAUAUCUUGAGUGCAGUUGAGGCAGGCGGAAUUCGUGGUGUAGCGGUGAAUGCUUAGAUAUCACGAAGGACUCCGAUUGCGAAGGCAGCUCACUGGAGUGUAACUGAC
rnacentral:rRNA from 1 species